UAGGGAAUAUUGCGCAAUGGGGGAAACCCUGACGCAGCAACGCCGCGUGGAGGAUGACGGUUUUCGGAUUGUAAACUCCUUUUCUACAGGAAGAUAAUGACGGUAUUGUAGGAAUAAGCACCGGCUAACUCCGUGCCAGCAGCCGCGGUAAUACGGAGGGUGCAAGCGUUACUCGGAAUCACUGGGCGUAAAGCGCGCGCAGGCGGUCUUUCAAGUCUUGAGUGAAAGCCUAUGGCUCAACCAUAGAAUUGCUUGGGAAACUGGGAGACUAGAGUGUGGGAGAGGCAGAUGGAAUUCUUGGUGUAGGGGUAAAAUCCGUAGAGAUCAAGAGGAAUACCGAUAGCGAAGGCGAUCUGCUGGAACACGACUGACGCUGAGGCGCGAAAGCGUGGGGAGCAAACAGGAUUAGAUACCCGCGUAGUCC
rnacentral:rRNA from 1 species